rnacentral:rRNA from 1 species
AUUGAACGCUGGCGGCAGGCCUAACACAUGCAAGUCGAGCGUGAAAGUCCUUCGGGAUGAGUAAAGCGGCGGACGGGUGAGUAACGCGUAGGAAUCUACCUAAUAGUGGGGGAUAACGUUUCGAAAGGAACGCUAAUACCGCAUACGUUCUGAGGAAGAAAGCAGGGGCUCGCAAGACCUUGCGCUAUUAGAUGAGCCUGCGUCCGAUUAGCUAGUUGGUGGGGUAAAGGCCUACCAAGGCGACGAUCGGUAACUGGUCUGAGAGGAUGAUCAGUCACACUGGAACUGAGACACGGUCCAGACUCCUACGGGAGGCAGCAGUGGGGAAUAUUGGACAAUGGGGGCGAACCCUGAUCCAGCCAUGCCGCGUGUGUGAAG